rnacentral:lncRNA from 10 species
GAGGGACCUGUUGGUCUCAAAGGAGGAAUUCACAGGGCUUCUCUAUCACCUGCCUGGGAAUGGGUAGGAGCUGGAGGAGGACUGCCGUUGCCAGAGACCACAUGAGCACUGACCUCUGGCCCUGGCAGCAGCAGUAGCUGCUGUUGCAAUGGGUCUCUGCCAUGCCCCAGUCCUCGGGGAACAUCUGCAGAUCAGUGGUUGUCUUGGAAUAGGCCAUGGGAAAGUCAAGAGAAGCCACGGCUCUUGAAAACCAUCCCAGAAUCCCACUGGAACGCUGUGCCAGAAUACACUGAGCCCUAAAGGUCUUGGGUUUUAUGCUAUUUUACUCAUUUUUAUUUUUUGGCUGCAGUUUUAGUUGGAAAUUCAGAACACUAAAGUUAUCCCAGGGCAUUGGUUCCAAGCAAGUCACAUAGCUCUCCUGCAGCUGAUAACUACGGGACCUGUGUUCAGGAUCCACAGCAAAUGAUGCAAAUCAGCCUAGCCACCAAGAACAACCAGUCUCUAAAAGAGACCCAAGUCCAAGGAAGCAAAGACUGAGACCAAAACCCAAAUCUUGUCUCCACUCCUUAAAUCUUCCUGCCAUGGCCAGGGGAACGUAAGUUACUUGAGGGCAGGCACUUGCCUCAUUCAUUUCUGAAUUCCCAGUACCUGGAGCAGCCCCUAACACACAGUAGGUCCUCAGUAAGCAUUUGACUAAAGAAAUGGAUAGGCCGGGCACGGUGGCUCACGCCUGUAAUCCCAGCAGUUUGGGAGGCCGAGGGAGGUGGAUCACCUGAGGUCAGGGGUUCAAGACCAGCCUGGCCAACAUGGUGAAACCCUGUCUCUACAAAAACACAAAACAACAACAAAAAAAAAGUAGCUGGGCAUGAUGCUGGGUGCCUGUAAUCCCAGCCACUAGGGAGGCUAAGGUGGGAGAAUCACUUGAACCUGGGAAGAAGAGGCUGCACUGAACCAAGAUCACACCACUCAUGGCACUCCAGCCUGGAUGACAGAGCAAGACCCCAUCUCAAAAAAAAAAAGUAGAUAAACUACUAGGCCAUACAAAAGAAUCUCUAGGCAGAGUGACCUCAUCCCACAGCACCGCUCAUCUUAGAAUGUGAUAGGAGAGGUGAUAGGAAGGCAAAGGUUAGCAAACUGGCCCAUAGAAUUCUGUUUUUGUACAGUCCGUGAGCUAAGAAUCCUUUUCACAUUUUUAAUGGCUGGAAAAAAUGCAAAGAAAAAUAAUAUUUUAUGACACAUGAAAUACAUGAAAUUCUAAUUUUGGUAUCUAUAAAUAAAGGUUUAUUGGAACACAACCACUCCCAUUCACUUAUUGGUAUUUUCUGUGGCUGCUUUUGAAGAACAGCAACAGAGCUGACUAGUUGCAAUAGAGACUGCAUCACCCACAAAGCUGAAUGUAUUUGUUAUCUAGCCAUUUACAGUAAGAGUUUUCCAACCCCUGGCCUAAAGAAUCUCCCCAGUUAGGUACAUGUGGUCUAGAUCCCCAGCGUUAACUGUUUGGAGUUAAGCAUUGUUCUCUCAGCUCUUCCUUUUUUCAUUUUUAUUUAUUUUUAUUUUAUUGCAAAUUGACAAUUUGUAAUUGUAUCUAUUUAUGGGCACAAAGUAGUGUUAUGAUUUAUUAAUACAAUGUGGAGUCAUUAAAUCAAGCUAAUUAACAUAUCCAUCACCUCAUGGCUCUUUCUUUUAAAUAGAAGCCUUUCUAGGGUGGUUUAAAUUACUCUUAGUAGUAUAAAUUUUUUGACAAUUUCUCUCCCUGAAAAAAGGGACGUGAUCAAGGAUAAGGAGAAACAAGGGAAGACAUAUUUUUAAAAGGGUAAAGGACACAAAAAGGGGAACUUCCACCAAGAAAAACUGGGUGCACUUUAUAAUGUUCCUAAUGGCCGGCACUAUACCAGGGCUUUGGGAAAGGACACAAAACAGGAAACUUCUCUGAGUUCACAGAAGGACCCCUUACCUUGCCCUGAAACAGCCACAGCCCUGCCCAGGCUGGCUCCUCCAAUCUGGCCUCCUUCAGUACCUCAUCCGUCCUGAGCAGUGUGAGCGAUGCUGUCUUUGGACGUCUCACCUGCACCAUCCACAGGGCACCACACACAACUCUCCUGAGCAGUGGAAAUCAUGGUAUUGUUUAUUUAGAUCCAGACAUACCAAAUGACAUCCAUCCCUUCCUCCCCGCAGAAAACACUCAUCACAGCAAUCCAGUCAGCAAACAAAAUGACUACCACUUGCCAUUUCUGAUUCCAUGCUUGCCUCGAGACAGAGAACUCCUUGCAAGUACAAAUUCUGCCUUAGUGAUUUUUAUUUCCCUGCACCUAACACAACAUCUAACUUGUGGUACGUAUAAUAUUCAACUAAAACUAGUCCUCUCCUCUUUUUCCUUUUCUUUCCCUGUCAUGCAGCUAGGAGAUGCAUGGAAUCCAAUGCUCUUUCCACUGAAGUGGAAAGUAGGCUGCUAACAACCUCCCCAGAAUCCUUGUAAGUAACUCCUCCCCAGGGGAGAACACACAUCUACAACUUGAGCCUGGAAUUCAGGUCAGCUUGGUAUCAACACUCAUCCAGGGUCUCCCCAUGGCCAGUAUGGCUUUUGUCCCCCUUAGAUAUGCUGGAGGAGGAGUCAUCUAAGUUUGUUUUUCCUCUCUAGUCUUCUGAUCAGCUAGGAGGAUCCAAGGUUCCAACUGAGUUCUCUUGCUUCACCUUGGGCAAGAGGAGAAAAAACAGUCACUUGUACACCUAACCACAAACCCCUGACCCUCUUCAAGGCAGAGGAAAGUAACUUUCCAAACUCUUCUUGAAUAAGAAGAAAAGAACCUCUCCUCUUUCAACAGGUAUUUCUGGCUGCUGGGGAGGGUGUUAUUAAUACAAGAAUCUAAACACAAUAGCCUGUCUCCUGGCAGCUGCCAUUCCCAUGGCAACCUCUGACUUUCACGGACUCCUUUGGAUACUAAGGGCCUCAGAGACAGACUUCUAAAACAACCAAAUUUUUCAAAAGUGAAUUCUCAGGGAACUUAUUCCUCUGUCAGAACAGACCCCUCCUAAACUUCCAUUUAAAGAGAAAACCUAAAAUCUGCUGUUUUAAAAAAAAAAUAACAGAAACCCCCAUUAAGUGCUGUUAUCACACCAACCCUCAAAGCUAUGGAAAUGGACAAUAUAGAAUUUAAAUUUCACAGGUGAAAAAAAAAGUGUACUAAGUGUGAGUUGAGGAUGGGAGAUGGAGAUCUGGUGGACUACCAGCAAAUGGAGAUAGCCAUGAAGAGGCAUAUUUGGGAAGGUAGUUCACAAACCUGAACCAGAAGAGACUCACCUGGAGAACAUGUUCAAAUACCGAUUCCCAGGCCCUGUCCCCAGGGAUUCUGAUUCUGUAGGUCUGGAAUGAAACCUGGAUCACUUUUGAAAGCUCUUCCAGUGUCCAGAUGAACAUUCAAAUUGGGAAACCAGCAAUCUGAAGCCUAUUCCUUGCCCCUUCCCCACCAUGGUCCAAGGGUCUCCUGGCUCUUAGCUCCCUCAAUUCCUGCCAGCCCUCAAUUCUAGAACCAGAGUAAAAGAAACUCAUUUUCUUUAAAAUAAAAGGAAGAAGUCGCAGCCCUGAAGUGCACGUGUGCUCUGUUAGGCGCUGUACCCAGGGAACCUUGGAGCUGGAAGCCGACUCCAGCCCUGAGCUGUGGGAAGGUUAUGUCAUGCUCUUGGCUUGCUGCCUGGUUUCCACUGGGGUUGCUGCCUGGUAUAUUUUAGGUGCUGGGUUUGCAGGCUAGUACUCUGACCUUCCUUGGCUCUCCCCCAGGGAGCAGCCACCAGGCUCCUGCUGUAUCAAGAGCUACAAGGUACAAUUUCCAUGGCAUCCAGGUAACAGGAACCAACUGGCAGCAAUAGCUGGGACCUGCAUUAGACCUGGGGAGGCAGCCUGCUGGAGAAGAAAGGUUCCCGGAUGUGAGCCUUUGCACGUGGUAUUAGCACGGCUAUUCACAGCUGUGGGAUUCGGGGCUAGCCACUGUCCUUCCAUGGGCCUCAGUUUCUCAGCUAUGAAACUAGGGGCUCAACAAGGGGUUCAGCAUAGAAUAGUGGAAGGAAUGUGGAUUCUGGGGCCAGAAGACUGAGGCUCAAAUCCUAGCUUCAUCACUGACUUGCUUGGUGAUGUUGGGCAAGUGCCUGAACCUCGUCGUGCAUCAGUUCUGUCAUCUACAAAAUGAGUGUAAUGGUACCUCUCCCACAAGGCUGAUGUGUCAAGUAAAGAUGAUGUGUGCCAAGUGCUUGGCUUACACACCACUGGAGAUCCAAGACACCCACACACACACACUCACUUCUUAACCGGGAACCUGAUGAAGUGGGUGCCAAAUCUGGAUAGAGAUGGUCUGGAGGGGGUUUAGAAGACGGAGAAGUUUCUCUGUGCAUAGCACAUAGGAAGAAAGGGAAACAUGAAUUUCUGAAGGAAACGAAGUUUGAGUUAGGAUUUUGACAAAUUGAGAAAAUAUGAAUAAGCAACUACAGGACAAAAAACUGAAGAAUAGAAGAAAAAACAAUCUGGAAUCCGGAUUGGGAAAUUUGGAUUCUAAUCCCAGCCCUUUCACUGUCCAGCUUUGUGGUCUGCUGAUAUGUUGCCUCUGUUGCAGGAAAAAAAAACAGGUUCUUUUCACACUACUCGGAAAAUUUAGGCUCACGGACACAUUGUAGGGUGAGAUGCGAGGAAGGGUUUAUUGGGUGAAAAAGGAAAAAGGAAAGAGGAACUCUCAGCAAAGCGAGAGAGUCCUGCUAGCAGGCCCGCACCUUGCAGACUGAAUCCCAGGCCACUACAUAGGAACUGAAGAGGCCAGACUCCUCCUCCCUGCUCCACCUGCUUCCUUUGGUGCGCAUUAUUCAGACAGAACCAAUCAGGAAAGGGUGGACUUCAUCCAGGACCAGCAGUCCGGUUUUUCAGCCUUCAGGAUUGUUUUAGGUUUUAGGUGGGUUUUCGCCAGGGACCCUUGUCUGUCUCCUGUCUCUAUCACCUCUUUAUCUAUGGAAUGGGGCUGUGGCAAAAAUUAACAAGAUGACUUAGGAGAAAGCACCUUGUAUAGUGCCUGGAACACAGUAGAUGUUUACUGGAUGGAUGGACGGAUCUAUGGACAGACAGAGGAUGGAUUCCAGAUGGAGAAAGUGGGGUGGGCAAAGGAAUAGAAAGAGGAAUGCCCAAGGCAUCUUUAUAGGUCAGUGGGUAUAUCUGCACAGUUCAGCAAUUUCUGAAGAGUGUUCUUGGAACUCUAGCCCCUAAGAUACUCCUAAGGGGAAAAAAAAACAUAUUCCCUGGUCAAUUAAACUUAGGAAUGACAGUUUGAUACACCACUCUCCUGAUGAUUUGCAAUAAAUGUCAACGUAUAAAUGA